UACGAAGGGGGCUAGCGUUGCUCGGAAUCACUGGGCGUAAAGGGUGCGUAGGCGGGUCUUUAAGUCAGGGGUGAAAUCCUGGAGCUCAACUCCAGAACUGCCUUUGAUACUGAGGAUCUUGAGUUCGGGAGAGGUGAGUGGAACUGCGAGUGUAGAGGUGAAGUUCGUAGAUAUUCGCAAGAACACCAGUGGCGAAGGCGGCUCACUGGCCCGAUACUGACGCUGAGGCACGAAAGCGUGGGGAGCAAACAGGGA
rnacentral:rRNA from 1 species